GUGGUCUAGUGGUUAAGAUUUGGUGCUUUCAUCAUCAUGGUCUGGGUUCAUUUCCCAGC
rnacentral:tRNA from 1 species